rnacentral:lncRNA from 1 species
CUUAAAGCAAAAUCUACUUUAAUUAAGCCCCAAACAUUCUGAUGAAAGAUGAUAAUCCUCUUGUACUGUGAACUUGUGGUCUUACAAAGAAGUCUGGAGUAGCAGAGAGGUCAAAGAAAUAAACACUACCCUCAUGCCCAACUCUCUCCAUGCCUUCCAAGUUUGUUAAUACAGACACAUCCAAUCCAAUCACAUAUGUACUGAAAUCCUUUUUUAAAUGAUGCAGAUUCAGAUGGAGAUUAUUACACCGUUAGCAAUUCAAAGUGGCUAACACUGAUUUCAAUGUGGGUAACCACAUUCCUUGAAAUCAAAGAUUUGAUAUGAAACUGACAAUAAAGAAUUCAUAUGGAACUCAAU